UAGCUCAGUCGGUUAGAGCGAGGUGCUCAUAACACCAAGGUCGUGGGUUUGAUUCCCGC
rnacentral:tRNA from 1 species